rnacentral:rRNA from 1 species
CCUUGGCACUAGAAGCCGAUGAAGGACGUUACUAACGACGAUAUGCUUUGGGUAGCUGUAAGUAAGCGUUGAUCCAGAGAUUUCCGAAUGGGGGAACCCAGCAUGAGUUAUGUCAUGUUAUCGACAUGUGAAUUCAUAGCAUGUCAGAAGGCAGACCCGGAGAACUGAAACAUCUUAGUACCCGGAGGAAGAGAAAGAAAAAUCGAUUCCCUGAGUAGCGGCGAGCGAAACGGGAAUAGCCCAAACCAACAAGCUUGCUUGUUGGGGUUGUAGGACACUCUAUACGGAGUUACAAAAGAACAUGUUAGACGAAUCAUCUGGAAAGAUGAAUCAAAGAAGGUAAUAAUCCUGUAGUCGAAAACAUAUUCUCUCUUGAGUGGAUCCUGAGUACGACGGAGCACGUGAAAUUCCGUCGGAAUCUGGGAGGACCAUCUCCUAAGGCUAAAUACUCUCUAGUGACCGAUAGUGAACCAGUACCGUGAGGGAAAGGUGAAAAGUACCCCGGAAGGGGAGUGAAAGAGAACUUGAAACCGUGUGCUUACAAGUAGUCAGAGCCCGUUAAUGGGUGAUGGCGUGCCUUUUGUAGAAUGAACCGGCGAGUUACGAUCUGAUGCAAGGUUAAGCAGCAAAUGUGGAGCCGCAGCGAAAGCGAGUCUGAAUAGGGCGUUGAGUAUUUGGUCGUAGACCCGAAACCAGGUGAUCUACCCUUGGUCAGGUUGAAGUUCAGGUAACACUGAAUGGAGGACCGAACCGACUUACGUUGAAAAGUGAGCGGAUGAACUGAGGGUAGCGGAGAAAUUCCAAUCGAACUUGGAGAUAGCUGGUUCUCUCCGAAAUAGCUUUAGGGCUAGCCUCAAGUGAUGAUUAUUGGAGGUAGAGCACUGUUUGGACGAGGGGCCCCUCUCGGGUUACCGAAUUCAGACAAACUCCGAAUGCCAAUUAAUUUAACUUGGGAGUCAGAACAUGGGUGAUAAGGUCCGUGUUCGAAAGGGAAACAGCCCAGACCACCAGCUAAGGUCCCAAAAUAUAUGUUAAGUGGAAAAGGAUGUGGCGUUGCCCAGACAACUAGGAUGUUGGCUUAGAAGCAGCCAUCAUUUAAAGAGUGCGUAAUAGCUCACUAGUCGAGUGACACUGCGCC